GAUGAACGCUGGCGGCGUGCCUAAUACAUGCAAGUCGAGCGAACAGACGAGGAGCUUGCUCCUCUGACGUUAGCGGCGGACGGGUGAGUAACACGUGGAUAACCUACCUAUAAGACUGGGAUAACUUCGGGAAACCGGAGCUAAUACCGGAUAAUAUAUUGAACCGCAUGGUUCAAUAGUGAAAGACGGUUUUGCUGUCACUUAUAGAUGGAUCCGCGCCGCAUUAGCUAGUUGGUAAGGUAACAGCUUACCAAGGCAACGAUGCGUAGCCGACCUGAGAGGGUGAUCGGCCACACUGGAACUGAGACACGGUCCAGACUCCUACGGGAGGCAGCAGUAGGGAAUCUUCCGCAAUGGGCGAAAGCCUGACGGAGCAACGCCGCGUGAGUGAUGAAGGUCUUCGGAUCGUAGAACUCUGUUAUUAGGGAAGAACAAAUGUGUAAGUAACUAUGCACGUCUUGACGGUACCUAAUCAGAAAGCCACGGCUAACUACGUG
rnacentral:rRNA from 1 species